rnacentral:sRNA from 1 species
CUGUGGAGUGUACAAGAACUUGUGAGUAGCGUAUUGUAAAAAGUCGCCAAAACAUACACGUUGAAACAGUAA